UACGUAGGUGGCAAGCGUUGUCCGGAUUUACUGGGCGUAAAGAGCGCGCAGGCGGUCGGAUCAGUCGAAUGUGAAGGCCCCCGGCUCAACUGGGGAGGGUCAUUCGAUACUGUCCGACUCGAAGGCAGGAGAGGGAAGCGGAAUUCCCGGUGUAGUGGUGAAAUGCGUAGAUAUCGGGAGGAACACCAGUGGCGAAGGCGGCUUUCUGGCCUGUUCUUGACGCUGAGGCGCGAAAGCUAGGGGAGCAAACGGG
rnacentral:rRNA from 1 species